AGAGUUUGAUCCUGGCUCAGGAUGAACGCUAGCUACAGGCUUAACACAUGCAAGUCGAGGGGCAGCAUGACCUAGCAAUAGGUUGAUGGCGACCGGCGCACGGGUGAGUAACACGUAUCCAACCUGCCGAUUAUUCCGGGAUAGCCUUUCGAAAGAAAGAUUAAUACUGGAUAGCAUAACGAGAAGGCAUCUUCUUGUUAUUAAAGAAUUUCGAUAAUCGAUGGGGAUGCGUUCCAUUAGUUUGUUGGCGGGGUAACGGCCCACCAAGACAUCGAUGGAUAGGGGUUCUGAGAGGAAGGUCCCCCACAUUGGAACUGAGACACGGUCCAAACUCCUACGGGAGGCAGCAGUGAGGAAUAUUGGUCAAUGGACGAGAGUCUGAACCAGCCAAGUAGCGUGAAGGAUGACUGCCCUAUGGGUUGUAAACUUCUUUUAUAUGGGAAUAAAGUGGGCCACGUGUGGCUUUUUGUAUGUACCAUACGAAUAAGGAUCGGCUAACUCCGUGCCAGCAGCCGCGGUAAUACGGAGGAUCCAAGCGUUAUCCGGAUUUAUUGGGUUUAAAGGGAGCGUAGGCGGAUUAUUAAGUCAGUUGUGAAAGUUUGCGGCUCAACCGUAAAAUUGCAGUUGAUACUGGUAGUCUUGAGUGCAGCAGAGGUAGGCGGAAUUCGUGGUGUAGCGGUGAAAUGCUUAGAUAUCACGAAGAACUCCGAUUGCGAAGGCAGCUUACUGGACUGUAACUGACGCUGAUGCUCGAAAGUGUGGGUAUCAAACAGGAUUAGAUACCCUGGUAGUCCACACAGUAAACGAUGAAUACUCGCUGUUUGCGAUAUACAGCAAGCGGCCAAGCGAAAGCAUUAAGUAUUCCACCUGGGGAGUACGCCGGCAACGGUGAAACUCAAAGGAAUUGACGGGGGCCC
rnacentral:rRNA from 1 species